rnacentral:rRNA from 1 species
GAAGAAGCACCGGCUAACUCCGUGCCAGCAGCCGCGGUAAUACGGAGGGUGCGAGCGUUAAUCGGAAUUACUGGGCGUAAAGCGCAUGCAGGUGGUUUGUUAAGUCAGAUGUGAAAGCCCGGGGCUCAACCUCGGAACUGCAUUUGAAACUGGCAGACUAGAGUACUGUAGAGGGGGGUAGAAUUUCAGGUGUAGCGGUGAAAUGCGUAGAGAUCUGAAGGAAUACCGGUGGCGAAGGCGGCCCCCUGGACAGAUACUGACACUCAGAUGCGAAAGCGUGGGGAGCAAACAGGAUUAGAUACCCUGGUAGUCCACGCCGUAAACGAUGUCUACUUGGAGGUUGUGGCCUUGAGCCGUGGCUUUCGGAGCUAACGCGUUAAGUAGACCGCCUGGGGAGUACGGUCGCAAGAUUAAAACUCA